AGAAACUCCUCGUCACUCCAGUUGACUGGCUGGUGCGGGACGAGGUGCAGUGUUGUCUCACUUUGUUCCAAUAUUGCACUCGUCCCGGCCUCCCAGUCUGCUCGAUUUGCCCGCAGCGAGGCA
rnacentral:precursor_RNA from 17 species